CCACUGGGCUAUAGAAUGAUGUCAAGGGCUGGAGAGGGAGGCUACAGAGUGGGUCUAGGUCCAGGUACAGUCUCAGAACCACACUGCAAAACUGGCUUAGUCAGGUAGCUGCUGUAUCUGCUGCUUCCACUGUGAACUCAAAAACCACAUUGCCUGUGCUGCAGGCCGGAAAGCUGCUGAACCAGGAAGCUGUGCUGAUGCUGCUGACUGCCCCUGAGGUUAGAGAUUGACUAGACAUAGUGCCACUGUCAUCCCUGCUGGAGAAGGUCCGAAGCACCUCCACCUCUGUGCUUCCAGAGGGGCACUGUGGUGGCCACUUAAAAUGCUCAGGCUAUACCAUGCACUAGAGCAUCUACCUGGGCAAGGGAUAUGCUGUAUGACACUCUCCUGAUGCUGGGCAUGGCUGUGAGCCAAAGCACCCAGGCAGCCCUGCCAUCAGAAGGGUAAACCACGGACACCUGAUGCCUUCCUGAAGGAAGAGCACUACGCCUGCCAAACCAUCAAGCGUUGAUGCUCCAGCGCCUUCUACCCGUGGUUCUCCAGCCUCAGCAGAAGAGAGAGAAAUUGAUGACCCUGUCGUUGUAGCAUCCCCAUCACCCAGCAAUUAAUUUUAGUUCAAUGCUUCAAACGCUCUUCAGGCGCAGUGUGCGUUCAGCUGUGUCAGCUAAUGCAAAUGGGGGAUCUCAGAAGUCUUAAUGAAGUAACUAUCCCUGAACACUGGGAUCAAUACUCAGCAUCCAGCUGUCAAAUCAACACCAAGCGUUUCACUCGUCGCCCAGCCUAGAGUGCAAUGGCGCUAUUUCGGCUCAUUAUAACCUCCGCCUCCCGGGUUCAAGCAAUUCUUCUGCUUCAGCGUCCCAAGUAGCUGGGAUUACAGCCGCCUCCUGGAGCAGAUUGUUAAGCUGAUGCGAGUCUGGGCUCUGCCUCACCACUUGUCUCAGAGACAGAGUCUUGCUCUGUCACCUAGGCUGGAGUGCAGUGGUGCCAUCACAGCUCACUGCAGCCUCGACCUCCCCGUGCUCAAGUGAUCCUCACACCUCAGCCUCCCGAGUAGCCGCGAUCACAAAAUGUCCAGUGCUAGGAGACUCAUAAGUUGGAGAGAAACGGCCUGAUUUAUAGAAACUGAGCGAGACUCCGGACCACCUGAUGCAGAGAAACCUGUGACCUGAAAAAGUCUAUUUGUGUUUCCUCUAGGAAUCUCGGCCAAGAAGACAGGGACAAGCUCCCAACUCUGACUACCCCUUUUACAGGGAAAAAAAAAAAAUCCCGUGCCUUCUUUGCAGCAAGUGACAAAUCCUUGUCAUAUCGAGAUGGCUUUUCCUCCUCCUCUUCAAACAUCUUUUAGCAGCAACAGCAGCUCAAGUAACUGGAAUUAUUUCAGAGUUAAAAUGCAGGCUUUGUAGACCCUCUUAGACAGACAGAUUCAAUUUCAAAGGAAACUUCUUUGGCUGGGUACUCAGUGAGUGUUACACAGGGAUUUGGGGAGUUAAUAUUCACUGUUUCUGUUGUUGGAGAAAAGGAAAGCAGAGUUGCUCUUUCUCAUUACUCUCCCCAACGCACAUCUGUUUCCUCUCGUAUCUUGGAAUUAGGAAGAUGGAGGAGACUUAAGUGGUGACCCACCUAGCCUCCUGAUGCAUGCUGGGCUCACUUUAAAACUCCCAAAACAGAUGGCAGUUGAUCACGGUUUUAAAGAUCCCAGCAUAGACUUUCUGCAGCCUCCCUUGUUAGCCACUAUCAGCGCUUAACAUUCUGUCAUCUGAAUAACUCCUUAAAAAUGAUAGCAAUGGUAGUAGAAAUUUAAAAGGAACCUCCCAAAAAACAUGCAAAAGCUUACCACCCCAGUAAAUCACCCGCAACAAUGUCGCAACAGUUUAAAUUUACUGCAGAGAGAGCUGAAGUUUAGGAGACACAGCUUUAUAAUAUUUUUGAGAGAUAGUUGAGUGCAAAUGAGUCCUGUUCCUCUUGCAUCAGGGCCUGCUCCACUGAGUCAUCCUGCCUUCAGAAGCUUCCAGCUAAGUGGCAGGCCCCGGCCAUAGGCUCCCUGUGUCCCCAGCCUCCAGAGAACACACAAUGUUCUCAUCGCCCUUAGCUCCAUUCCAGAAGGGGCCUGCAGUUCUGCAGCUUAUCAGGGGUCUACUGGGAAGUGAGAUGUCACUGUCCCUUUCUGGCCCUGCAUUGUCUGUGAGUGGCUCUCCUGGAUUAAGAGUUGGCAAAGUAUGGCCAGUGGCCAGGACUGGCCUGCUGCCUGUUUUUGUUUAACCCGUGAGCUAAGAAUAGUUUUUACCUAUUUUAAGUAGUUGAAAAAAAAAUCAAGAGAAGAAUACUAUUUCGUGAUAUGUGAAAAAUCACAUGAAAUUCAAAUGUAAGUGUCCAUAAAUAAAGUCUUACUGGAAGACAGCCUUGCUCAUUUAUUUCUGUCUCAUUCGCUACUGUCUGCGGCUGCCUUCACGCUACAAUGGCAGUACUGAGUAGUUGUGACGGGCACUGUAUGACAGCAAAUCCUAAAGUAUUUGCCAUCUGGCCCUUCACAGAAAAAGUUUGCUGACCCUGGCUUUCGAGCCUCUCAUCACUUUGGGAUUCAUCUCUUUACUUUCCCCAGAGUGAGGGAGGCAGUAACGUUCCUCGUGAGUGCUUAGUCCUUGCUCCCAAGGCAAUAAACCCCCCAAAACCCCUCUCUUUCUGCAGUCUUCUUGUUGGCUUGAUAGUGGUAGGGCUGGUUCAGCCAAGGUCACAGUUGGAGGGCAGGAAGGGGGUACAGCGAAGGACGACGGGGGUGUCUUCUCUAGUCCUGUUUGCAGCAAUCUUUAGAAUGCAAAAUAAUUAAGAAGAAACUGCUGUUUUUUGGCUGUGGGAUGCAAUUCGAAUUCUGGAAAAUUAGAAUCAACAGAACGUGGGAUGUGGGAGUCCAGGACAACUCCCCUGUUUUGGCUGUGUUUGGUGCCAUGUGUGGAGGUGGGAGAGAUGGGAGAAAGAAGAGGUUUGGGCAGGGGGAGGGAAGAAUCAAGAUUCUGCUUUGAAUGGACGAAGGUUGUGGUUUGUUGAGAGGACAACUAGAUAACUGGCCACUUGAAGAUGGGAUGGAAGUCUGAAUCUGCAAGGAGUCACAGAUGAAUGGUAUGGAAAGCUGUGGUAGUGGAUGAGAUCAUACGAACGGUGGGUGCAGAUGGAAACGAGAAGCCAUCUAAGGACUCGUAAUGGGCUCCUCAACACUUGGAAGUUGGGUAGAGGAAGAAGACCGCAUGAGGGCAGGAUCCUGAAUGUUCCACUCACUGCUAUAUCCCUAGCACUGGUUACAGUGCUUGGCACACACUGCAUGCUCAAUAAAUUAUUUGUUGCCCAUAUAAGUGAACGUGAAUUCCAAUGGACUAGCAUCUUCCACUCUCAACAUAAACAAAAACAACAGCAACAUUGCAAUUCCCUAUCUUCUCUUCCCUGAUCUCUUUCUCAUUCUGUCUCUCCUUCCCUUUUCCUCUGCCUUCCUGUUGCCUUCUCUGAUAUGAGUUAAAUUUAUCAGGGGUGUCCAGGUACCCGGCUAUUCUUGAGCAUUCCUUAUCUGGCUACAACUCUGGGUGACACUGGUUACUAGUUUAGUGAACGAGCCAACAUAUAUUCUUCUUUUUGUCUACAUAGUUUUUUUUAAUGUUAAACUUGUUCCUAUUGCACCUCACUCUUUAUGAACUGUCAGUUAAUGCUAUUUUGGCUCUAUUCCUACCUUAGACGGAUGCUUGACAACUUGGUGUCAUCUGACCUUAAUUAGGACAUUCUUGGUUAAGACAUUGUUGGUGUAAAGAGAGAGA
rnacentral:lncRNA from 1 species